rnacentral:rRNA from 1 species
CGGGACGGGUGAGUAAUGUCUGGGAAACGUGCCUGAUGGAGGGGGAUAACUACUGGAAACGGUAGCUAAUACCGCAUAACGUCGCAAGACCAAAGAGGGGGACCUUCGGGCCUCUUGCCAUCGGAUGUGCCCAGAUGGGAUUAGCUAGUAGGUGGGGUAACGGCUCACCUAGGCGACGAUCCCUAGCUGGUCUGAGAGGAUGGCCAGCCACACUGGAACUGAGACACGGUCCAG